rnacentral:rRNA from 1 species
CCCUUAGACGCUCUAGGCGGCACGCGCGCUACAAUGGGUGGUAGAACGUGUAACUGCUCCCGAAAGGGAGGGUGAACCACGAAUACUUACCCGUGAAUGGGAUAGUUUGUUGCAAUUUUCGGACUUGAACUAGGAAUCCCUUGUAAGAAUGCUCAAGAAUAGCGUGCUGAAUACGUCCCUGCCGUUUGUACACGCCGCCCGUCGUUUCUUCCGACUGAUACUCAUUGUGAGUUGCAAGGAUUCUUAUUGAAAAAUUGCUGCGAAUGCUUUGUAUUGGAGGAAGAAAAAGUCGUAACA